rnacentral:rRNA from 1 species
GACGUAGGAGGCGAGCGUUGUCCGGAAUUAUUGGGCGUAAAGGGCCCGUAGGCGGUCUGUCACGUCGGGAGUGAAAACUCAGGGCUUAACCCUGAGCCUGCUUCCGAUACGGGCAGACUAGAGGUAUGCAGGGGAGAACGGAAUUCCUGGUGUAGCGGUGAAAUGCGUAGAUAUCGGGAGGAACACCAGUGGCGAAGGCAGGUCUCUGGGCCAUAACUGACGCUGAGAAGCGAAAGCAUGGGGAGCGAACAGG